GACAGGGGCACCUGNACCAUUCAUGCCGCGUGAGUGAAGAAGGCCUUCGGGUUGUAAAGCUCUUUUGUCAGGGAAGAAACAGCAGCUCUAACACAGUCUGCGAAUGACGGUACCUGAAGAAUAAGCACCGGCUAACUACGUGCCAGCAGCCGCGGUAAUACGUAGGGUGCGAGCGUUAAUCGGAAUUACUGGGCGUAAAGCGCGCGCAGGCGGUUAUACAAGACAGGCGUGAAAUCCCCGGGCUUAACCUGGGAAUGGCGUCUGUGACUGUAUAGCUAGAGUGUGUCAGAGGGGGGUGGAAUUCCACGUGUAGCAGUGAAAUGCGUAGAUAUGUGGAGGAACACCAAUGGCGAAGGCAGCCCCCUGGGAUAACACUGACGCUCAUGCACGAAAGCGUGGGGAGCAAACAGGAUUAGAUACCCUGGUAGUCCACGCCCUAAACGAUGCUGACUAGUUGUUGGGAAUUUACAUUCUCAGUAACGUAGCUAACGCGUGAAGUCAGCCGCCUGGGGAGUACGGUCGCAAGAUUAAAACUCAAAGGAAUUGACGGGGACCCGCACAAGCGGUGGAUGAUGUGGAUUAAUUCGAUGCAACGCGAAAAACCUUAUCUANCCUUGACAUGUCACUAACGAAGUAG
rnacentral:rRNA from 1 species